UACCGGUCGCGUGACUGGCGAAUCGUGGGGCACCACAGGGAAGCGCCGACCAUAAUCGAGCCGUUCGCCUGGGCACCUUCA
rnacentral:ncRNA from 2 species